rnacentral:rRNA from 1 species
GUCCACGCCGUAAACGAUGGACACUAGGCGUCUGGGGAGCGACCCUCCCGGUGCCGUCGCUAACGCAGUAAGUGUCCCGCCUGGGGAGUACGGCCGCAAGGCUGAAACUCAAAGGAAUUGACGGGGGCCCGCACAAGCGGUGGAGCAUGUGGUUUAAUUCGAAGCAACGCGAAGAACCUUACCUGGGCUUGACAUGCUGGUGAAAGCCUGUGGAAACAUCGGCCCCUCUUCGGAGCGCCAGCACAGGUGCUGCAUGGCUGUCGU